ACCGCCGGCAACCGACGGGGCGGCCCGGGCUCGGCCGCUGGGAGCACGGCGGAGAGCUGCAGGCGGCGAGGCCCGGAGCGGCGAGCUCCAUCCAGCGCGGCACACCCGGAUCCUCGCGUUGCCCCAGGGCCACAUCACCCCACUCCAGGGCACUGCGCAGACCCGCAGACACCGCACCCGCAGCUCCAAGGGGCAGUGCGGGGCCCCGCAAAGAAACGUCGCCUCUCCCCGGGCCCAGGUUCCGGGACCCCCCCGGCACAGCUGUAACGUCGCGAACGCCCACGCCUGCAGAAUAAAAACCGAUCCAGAGCCGCCUCGUCUCCCCGAGCCUCUGUGGCAGCGCCCGUCGGUGGGACAGCUGAGGUGGGGCACACGGGGACGGCGCGCAUCCAUUCCCCGGGGCAGAUCCGUUCGUGAAACCGCAAUUGAGAGCCCGUGUUCGCAGACGGGGCGGGCACAGCCGGACCCCGAGACACACUCCUCGGCCACAGCCGGGCCCUGGGCAGGGGGAGUCGCCACCUCGAGCCCCGCCCGAGCCCAUGGGCCCUUUCCCAAGUCGGGGGGAGAAGGGUCCCCUCACCAUCCCGCUUACAGUGCCUCCUGUCCGUGGGCACUGCUUCCUUCGGGGCUCCGUGUGCGGCCCCGACGGCGCUCCCCGGGCCGGGCGGCAUCAGCCGGGCUCCUCCGGGGAACCACUCCGGGGAUCAGCUCCGAGGAAGGGGCCCGGCCCAGCCGCCCCCGCGCCGCGGCCCCGCUCCCUCUUCCCUUUCAUCUCUGCCCAUCUCCACUCAUCAUCUCUUUUCUAUUUUUAGCCGGUAGACUUAGGCCUUGGCGCCAGGCCGUUUAAGACCUGUCAAAGUCCUUCAUAUUUCCCUCAUGUCACAUGGACCUUUCGCUCCCUUCCCCGCGCCAUGCGAGGGCCGUAAUUUGGAUCUGUGAGCUGGUGAGCAAAUGCAAUUUGCUCUUCUCCAUCGCUGCGUUGUCUCCGUGACCCCAGCCAGCAGGACGGCUGGUGUCCUGUCCGGGGCACUUACACAAAUUGCGGCUGAUUGAUGAAAAAUAACAAUUCUCCGAGCAGUCGGGCCUCCGUCUUCCCCUCCUCCCGGCUCCUCCGGGCUGAGGCGGCUCCGCGCCCCGGGGCGCUCCUCUCGACGGUGCGGGGCCGCCCCACGAACCGCCGCCGGCCGCCUCUGGAGUGACUCUCGGAUUGAGCCAAAAAGGGGUUUUCUUCUCGUGCUGGAAGCGAGCCGUCGGGGCCCGCUUCUCGGCAGAGAUGAAGGGCGUUGUACGCCUGGGCCCCGACGGAGCCGGGCAGCAGCGGCCGUUGUGCACCUUCCAGAGGUGGGAAAAGGCCGGGCCGCGAAAGAGCCGGGUCCGCUGCGGGGGGUUCCUCAGCCCGGUGGGGCCGCCGAGGGCCGGGCUGAGCGGCUGUCCAUCACCGGACGUGGGGCACCAGAGUCCUCUGCACGUGCAGUGCACAGCAAUCCCGCAGGUGUGGGCUGGGAGCUCGUGGAAAUAACCCUUCGCCCUCGGAGGAGCGGCCCCGAAGCUCUCUGCCACUUUUCUCCCUCUCCACCUGGAGAAGAGACACGGGGGAACGUCCCCGCCCCGCGCUGAGGUGCCCGUCGAGGGGCGGCGGCUGCCCCACAGGUGGGGCGGGGAGAGACCCGAUGAUCGCCCCGUCCCGGCCCCCGUGGGAUGCGCCUUUAUGGACAGCGAUGCCCGGCCCCGGCCACACCACCUCUUCCCGCUGUGCGCCCCGUCCGUGCGGAGGGAACCCCGGCACCCCCUGAGCCCCCCCACCCUCAGCCUGUUUAGAUUUCUCUCCGAAUGUUUCCCGUAAUCCAGAUUUCUGGAAAAUAACCACACGCGGGCAGACGCGGCCACGAACGCCGCUGAAGUUUAUCCGGAAUUUGACCAACGUAUAAACACAUUUCCAGCCCGUUCGGCGGGGCGGGCGCUGGGUGACCCCUGCCCGGCACCGGGGCUGCACCGCGCUCCGCCCUCGUUACCUCCGCGCCGCUUUGAUCCGGAGCCCUCCGAGCUCCGCCGCUUGAUUGAGUUUUUGUAAUUAAGGAGCGCAGGGAGAGGGAGGGGGGGGCGGCCGUAACCCCGCACACCCCGGGGCUGCGCACGUCGGGGCGCGGCGCCUCGGCCGCUCCGAGCCCGUUCCCUUAAAAGGCGACGGGAGCCCCGCGCAGCGCCGGGGGGGGACGGGGGGGGACGCGGCGUGAAACCCGAGCGGCACUGCGGGGGGCGGGCGGCGGCGCGGGGCGGGGCGGGGGGAGGUGGGGAGGAUCAUGCAAAUCCCUCUGUUUAAAAAACUUCCAUUUGAGAAAGUGUGUCACAUCCCGGCGCGGGCGUGUAAUCCCCGGGCUAAUGGUAUUACCGCCGCCUCAUCGGCGUAAUGGGAUGGGGCCGGGGGCGACCAUCCCCCGGACCCUCCGCCACGCGUGACCGCAGCCCCAUAGCGCCCGCCCCGUCGGGGCCCCGCUGCCCCACCUCUCCCCCUCCCCGCUCCCCGUCCUCCCUCCCAGGCCCCGCGGUGUCUGUAGGAGAGCGGAGCCCCCGUUUUUGCCGGGGGUUCCCGGACCAAAACCGACCCCGGGAGGGGAGAGCAGGAGCUGCGCCUCGUGGUCGGUUCAUCUCUUAAAUAAAAGAGAUUAGCGAGCACCGUUAUUUGAUAAAAUAAUGCUGUUAUGGCCACCACCCCCUUCCCCUGUGGGAUUAAAAGUGAGGAUUUGAGGCUGUCCAACAGUCUGACCUGGAUCGCUGCGGGAACAGCCCCCGGGAUGGGCUGUUAGCAACCAAAAAACCCACGGAACUGGGAGAUGUGGGCAAAGGGGCAGCUCUGCCCAUCAGAUGAGACCUGAGGAUGGGCAGCGGUGGGCAAAAGGAGAACCACGACACCCCCAGCAGCAGAGCUGGCCCUGGCCCCGGCCCCUCUGCAGGGCACGGACCCUUCAAACCCCAAAAUGUUUAGGGUAGGAGUUGCAGCACCUGAGUUCAGCGCUCCUGGGCUCACACCUUGGGCCCUCAUGCUUCGAACGAGAUUUGGGAAUGUAAUCUGGGAUGGAGAUGAACCGGGAGCCGGCACCGCUGCUCUCAUACCACGUUCGUGUUUGUUUGUUUUCUUUUGCUCUCCAUCAG
ensembl:lncRNA